CGAAUGCUGACAUAAGUAACGAUAAAGCGGGUGAAAAGCCCGCUCGCCGGAAGACCAAGGGUUCCUGUCCAACGUUAAUCGGGGCAGGGUGAGUCGACCCCUAAGGCGAGGCCGAAAGGCGUAGUCGAUGGGAAACAGGUUAAUAUUCCUGUACUUGGUGUUACUGCGAAGGGGGGACGGAGAAGGCUAUGUUGGCCGGGCGACGGUUGUCCCGGUUUAAGCGUGUAGGCUGGUUUUCCAGGCAAAUCCGGAAAAUCAAGGCUGAGGCGUGAUGACGAGGCACUACGGUGCUGAAGCAACAAAUGCCCUGCUUCCAGGAAAAGCCUCUAAGCAUCAGGUAACAUCAAAUCGUACCCCAAACCGACACAGGUGGUCAGGUAGAGAAUACCAAGGCGCUUGAGAGAACUCGGGUGAAGGAACUAGGCAAAAUGGUGCCGUAACUUCGGGAGAAGGCACGCUGAUAUGUAGGUGAAGCGACUUGCUCGUGGAGCUGAAAUCAGUCGAAGAUACCAGCUGGCUGCAACUGUUUAUUAAAAACACAGCACUGUGCAAACACGAAAGUGGACGUAUACGGUGUGACGCCUGCCCGGUGCCGGAAGGUUAAUUGAUGGGGUCAGCGCAAGCGAAGCUCUUGAUCGAAGCCCCGGUAAACGGCGGCCGUAACUAUAACGGUCCUAAGGUAGCGAAAUUCCUUGUCGGGUAAGUUCCGACCUGCACGAAUGGCGUAAUGAUGGCCAGGCUGUCUCCACCCGAGACUCAGUGAAAUUGAACUCGCUGUGAAGAUGCAGUGUACCCGCGGCAAGACGGAAAGACCCCGUGAACCUUUACUAUAGCUUGACACUGAACAUUGAGCCUUGAUGUGUAGGAUAGGUGGGAGGCUUUGAAGUGUGGACGCCAGUCUGCAUGGAGCCGACCUUGAAAUACCACCCUUUAAUGUUUGAUGUUCUAACGUGGACCCGUAAUCCGGGUUGCGGACAGUGUCUGGUGGGUAGUUUGACUGGGGCGGUCUCCUCCUAAAGAGUAACGGAGGAGCACGAAGGUUGGCUAAUCCUGGUCGGACAUCAGGAGGUUAGUGCAAUGGCAUAAGCCAGCUUGACUGCGAGCGUGACGGCGCGAGCAGGUGCGAAAGCAGGUCAUAGUGAUCCGGUGGUUCUGAAUGGAAGGGCCAUCGCUCAACGGAUAAAAGGUACUCCGGGGAUAACAGGCUGAUACCGCCCAAGAGUUCAUAUCGACGGCGGUGUUUGGCACCUCGAUGUCGGCUCAUCACAUCCUGGGGCUGAAGUAGGUCCCAAGGGUAUGGCUGUUCGCCAUUUAAAGUGGUACGCGAGCUGGGUUUAGAACGUCGUGAGACAGUUCGGUCCCUAUCUGCCGUGGGCGCUGGAGAAUUGAGGGGGGCUGCUCCUAGUACGAGAGGACCGGAGUGGACGCAUCACUGGUGUUCGGGUUGUCAUGCCAAUGGCACUGCCCGGUAGCUAAAUGCGGAAGAGAUAAGUGCUGAAAGCAUCUAAGCACGAAACUUGCCCCGAGAUGAGUUCUCCCUGACUCCUUGAGAGUCCUGAAGGAACGUUGAAGACGACGACGUUGAUAGGCCGGGUGUGUAAGCGCAGCGAUGCGUUGAGCUAACCGGUACUAAUGAACCGUGAG
rnacentral:rRNA from 1 species